rnacentral:rRNA from 1 species
UGAAUACGAGACGCUAAGGCGUCGAAGUAGUGUAUGUCAUACUUCCAAGAAAAGCUUGCACUGUCAUAGAUAAAAAACGCCUGUACCAUAACCGACACAGGUGGGUAGGUAGAGUAUACUAAGGGGCGCGAGAUAACUCUCUCUAAGGAACUCGGCAAAAUAACUCCGUAACUUCGGGAGAAGGAGUGCCUUAUUCGUAAGGUUGCAAUAACAAGAUCCAAGCAACUGUUUAUCAAAAACACAGGUCUCCGCUAAGUCGUAAGACGAUGUAUGGGGGCUGACGCCUGCCCAGUGCCAGAAGGUUAAAGAAGUUGGUUAGCAAUUGCGAAGCUGAUAACUGAAGCCCUGGUGAACGGCGGCCGUAACUAUAACGGUCCUAAGGUAGCGAAAUUCCUUGUCGGGUAAGUUCCGACCCGCACGAAAGGCGUAAUGAUUUGGAUACUGUCUCGGAGAGGGGCUCGGUGAAAUAGACUUGUCUGUGAAGAUGCGGACUACCUGCACCAGGACAGAAAGACCCUAUGAAGCUUUACUGUAACUUGAAAUUGAAAUUGGACUUUAUUCGCGCAGUAUAGGUGGGAGGCGUUGAUUAUAAUCUUGUGGGAUUAUUGGAGCCAUCAGUGAGAUACCACUCUUGUAAUGUUAGAUUUCUAACUUUGAAUCAUUAUCUGGUCAAAGAACAGUUUCAGGCGGGCAGUUUGACUGGGGCGGUCGCCUCCUAAACGGUAACGGAGGCGUACAAAGGUUUCCUCUGAACGGUUAGAAAUCGUAUCUAGAGUGUAAAGGCAUAAGGAAGCUUGACUGUGAGACCUACAAGUCGAGCAGGGACGAAAGUCGGUCUUAGUGAUCCGACGGUACUGAGUGGAAAGGCCGUCACUCAACGGAUAAAAGUUACUCUAAGGAUAACAGGCUGAUCUCCCCCAAGAGUUCACAUCGACGGGGAGGUUUGGCACCUCGAUGUCGGCUCAUCGCAUCCUGGGGCGGUAGUACGUCCCAAGGGUUGGGCUGUUCGCCCAUGAAAGCGGUGCGCGAGCUGGGUUCAGAACGUCGUGAGACAGUUCGGUCCAUAUCCGGUGUAGGCGUUAGAAUAUUGAGAGGAGCCUUCUUUAGUACGAGAGGACCGAGAAGGACAUACCUCUGGUGUACCAGUUAUCGUGCCAACGGUAAACGCUGGGUAGCUAUGUAUGGAGUGGAUAACCGCUGAAAGCAUCUAAGUGGGAUGCCCACCUCAAGAUAAGUAUUCUCA